UCAGUACACUGAGCACCCACAACCUGGACGGGGGUUGUUUGGCAUGGCCAGGCGGUCAACUUUGAAGCGGGGCAUUUCUUGCAAGUAGAGAUCUGCCCAGGACGUAGCCUAACCCAUCCAGCAAAACCACAAGCAUCAACAGCAGGAGAGGAGCAAAGACCCGGGCGGAGACAGGGGGAGCGCGAGGGCAAGACGCGGUCACGAACAGAUGCCUGAAUGUGGGUAAGAAAAUAACCUAACCACACGCCCCCCGGACGUGGGGCUGCUGGGACUGAGAACCCGGCAGCAGGCACGGCGCAGCAGCGGGCGGCAGCGGCGGAGGCGGCGGCGAUGUCAGGACGGCACAGCUGGAAACGAGCUCCCAAGUCACCAACCCCGCCCCCAGGAAUGAACAAAGAAGUCAUUAAGGAAGACAUAGAGACAUGGUAUUUCAACUGGGACUUGAAGGAUGGCAGAAUUUUGAAAGAAAGAGAAUAGAAUAAGAAAGUUUCCAGGCAGAAGGCAUGUCAUGAACAAAGACAUGGAGAGGAGACAAGUGUUUGCCAAGAAGAAAUGGAUUUGGAUGGAAACCUCUUAUCGAGGACAAACCUUAAGAAGACUAAUGGACAAUGAGUUCUGUAUAACCCUUUGGCCUUCACUCUUAACGUUUAUUGUGAUCAAGUGAUUUGAGCAAAGGAUUUCAAGUCAGUGCUCAUGUAUUUUUUGUAGCUUUUCAUUUCUCUUACAGAAUGACCUGGAACAAACCCAUUGA